ACCAUCCUUUUCUUGGGGUUGAGCUACUGUCCAAUGAGCGUCUAGUGAGGGCAGUACUGCUAACGCCUGCACAACACAUCCGCAUCAACUAGAGCUUUGCUUUAUCUUGGUGCAAUUUUUGGAAAA
ensembl:snRNA